rnacentral:rRNA from 1 species
CAGGGAGCUUGCUCUCGGUGUGACGAGUGGCGGACGGGUGAGUAAUGUCUGGGAAACUGCCUGAUGGAGGGGGAUAACUACUGGAAACGGUAGCUAAUACCGCAUAACGUCGCAAGACCAAAGAGGGGGACCUUCGGGCCUCUUGCCAUCAGAUGUGCCCAGAUGGGAUUAGCUAGUAGGUGGGGUAACGGCUCACCUAGGCGACGAUCCCUAGCUGGUCUGAGAGGAUGACCAGCCACACUGGAACUGAGACACGGUCCAGACUCCUACGGGAGGCAGCAGUGGGGAAUAUUGCACAAUGGGCGCAAGCCUGAUGCAGCCAUGCCGCGUGUAUGAAGAAGGCCUUCGGGUUGUAAAGUACUUUCAGCGGGGAGGAAGGCGAUGAGGUUAAUAACCUUGUCGAUUGACGUUACCCGCAGAAGAAGCACCGGCUAACUCCGUGCCAGCAGCC